ensembl:lncRNA
AGAUAGAUAGAUAGAUAGAUAGAUAGAUACAGAAAUAAAGAAACAUAGCUAUGCAUGAUGUGUGUAUAUUCAAAUAUAAUAUUUAAUAUAAUAUUUAGUCUCUUUUUUCACAGGGGAAAACAAGCUUCGCCUAUACCGAGCUGUCUGUCAAUGAAAAGUGAUAAUUCAAUGAACCCUCCACUGAAAUUUCAAAGUGAAACAUCACAAGUGCACAGGGGAAAACAAGCUUCGCCUGUACCGAGCUGUCUGUCAAUGAAAAGUGAUAAUUCAAUGAACCCUCCACUGAAAUUUCAAAGUGAAACAUCACAAGUGCACAGGGGAAAACAAGCUUCGCCCGUACCGAGCUGUCUGUCAAUGAAAAGUGAUAAUUCAAUGAACCCUCCACUGAAAUUUCAAAGUGAAACAUCACAAUUGCACAGGACGAUAAAACAGGAGAGAUCCCACACAUCAGC